GACGUAGGGCGCGAGCGUUGUCCGGAUUUAUUGGGCGUAAAGAGCUCGUAGGCGGCUUGUCGCGUCGUCCGUGAAAACCUGCAGCUCAACUGCAGGCUUGCGGUCGAUACGGGCAGGCUAGAGUUCGGUAGGGGAGACUGGAAUUCCUGGUGUAGCGGUGAAAUGCGCAGAUAUCAGGAGGAACACCGGUGGCGAAGGCGGCUCUCUGGGACGGUACUGACGCUGAGACGCGAAAGCGUGGGGAGCGAACAGGG
rnacentral:rRNA from 1 species